GGGGCGUUAGCUCAUCUGGGAGAGCGCUUGGUUUGCAUCCAAGAGGUAGCGGGUUCGAAUCCCGCACGCUCCACCA
rnacentral:tRNA from 1 species